rnacentral:rRNA from 1 species
GGAGCAGCCCAGAGCCUGAAUCAGUGUGUGUGUUAGUGGAAGCGUCUGGAAAGGCGUGCGAUACAGGGUGACAGCCCCGUACACAAAAAUGCACAUACUGUGAGCUCGAUGAGUAGGGCGGGACACGUGGUAUCCUGUCUGAAUAUGGGGGGACCAUCCUCCAAGGCUAAAUACUCCUGACUGACCGAUAGUGAACCAGUACCGUGAGGGAAAGGCGAAAAGAACCCCGGCGAGGGGAGUGAAAAAGAACCUGAAACCGUGUACGUACAAGCAGUGGGAGCACGCUUAGGCGUGUGACUGCGUACCUUUUGUAUAAUGGGUCAGCGACUUAUAUUCUGUAGCAAGGUUAACCGAAUAGGGGAGCCGAAGGGAAACCGAGUCUUAACUGGGCGUUAAGUUGCAGGGUAUAGACCCGAAACCCGGUGAUCUAGCCAUGGGCAGGUUGAAGGUUGGGUAACACUAACUGGAGGACCGAACCGACUAAUGUUGAAAAAUUAGCGGAUGACUUGUGGCU